UACGAGGGGGGCGAGCGUUGUUCGGAAUUAUUGGGCGUAAAGGGUGCGUAGGCGGUUUGGUAAGUCUUAUGUGAAAUCUACAGGCUCAACUUGUAGUCUGCAUGAGAAACUGCCGGGCUUGAGUGUGGGAGAGGUGAGUGGAAUUCCUGGUGUAGCGGUGAAAUGCGUAGAUAUCAGGAGGAACACCUGUGGCGAAAGCGGCUCACUGGACCAUAACUGACGCUGAUGCACGAAAGCCAGGGGAGCAAACGGG
rnacentral:rRNA from 1 species